rnacentral:rRNA from 1 species
GUGGGGAAUAUUGGACAAUGGGCGAAAGCCUGAUCCAGCCAUGCCGCGUGUGUGAAGAAGGUCUUCGGAUUGUAAAGCACUUUAAGUUGGGAGGAAGGGCAGUAAGUUAAUACCUUGCUGUUUUGACGUUACCGACAGAAUAAGCACCGGCUAACUUCGUGCCAGCAGCCGCGGUAAUACGAAGGGUGCAAGCGUUAAUCGGAAUUACUGGGCGUAAAGCGCGCGUAGGUGGUUUUGUAAGUUGGAGGUGAAAUCCACGGGCUCAACCUGGGAACUGCCUCCAAAACUGCAUGACUAGAGUACGGUAGAGGGUAGUGGAAUUUCCUGUGUAGCGGUGAAAUGCGUAGAUAUAGGAAGGAACACCAGUGGCGAAGGCGACUACCUGGACUGAUACUGACACUGAGGUGCGAAAGCGUGGGGAGCAAACAGGAUUAGAUACCCGAGUAGUCC